GUCCGCACGGUAAACGAUGGAUGCCCGCUGUUUACCCACCUGGGCCAGCGGCCAAGCGAAAGCAUUAAGCAUCCCACCUGGGGAGUACGCCGGCAACGGUGAAACUCAAAAGGAAUUGACGGGGGCCCGCACAAGCGGAGGAACAUGUGGUUUAAUUCGAUGAUACGCGAGGAACCUUACCCGGGCUUGAAUUGCAGAGGAAUUUAUCAGAGAUGGUAAAAGCCCUUCGGGGUCUCUGUGAAGGUGCUGCAUGGUUGUCGU
rnacentral:rRNA from 1 species